rnacentral:rRNA from 1 species
UACGUAGGGUGCGAGCGUUAAUCGGAAUUACUGGGUGUAAAGCGUGCGCAGGCGGUGAUGUAAGACCGAUGUGAAAUCCCCGGGCUUAACCUGGGAACUGCAUUGGUGACUGCAUUGCUGGAGUAUGGCAGAGGGGGGUGGAAUUCCACGUGUAGCAGUGAAAUGCGUAGAGAUGUGGAGGAACACCGAUGGCGAAGGCAGCCCCCUGGGCCAACUACUGACGCUCGAUGCACGAAAGCGUGGGGAGCGAAACAACGGAU